GCGGGUGUAGCUCAAUGGUAGAGCAACAGCCUUCCAAGCUGAAGAUGAGGGUUCGAUCCCCUUCACCCGCUCCA
rnacentral:tRNA from 2 species